rnacentral:tRNA from 1 species
GCCUUUGUGGUGUAGUGGUCAGUACGCUCGAUGCUAAACUGAGAUGUCCGUGGUUCGAUUCCCAGUGAGGGCA